AUUGAACGCUGGCGGCAGGCCUAACACAUGCAAGUCGAACGAGUGGCGGACGGGUGAGUAAUGUCUGGGAAACUGCCCGAUGGAGGGGGAUAACUACUGGAAACGGUAGCUAAUACCGCAUACCAUCGGAUGUGCCCAGACGGGAUUAGCUAGGCGGUGGGGUAACGGCUAACCUGGGCGACGAUCCCCAGCUGGUCUGAGAGGAUGACUAGCCACACUGGGACUGAGACACGGUCCAGACUCCUACGGGAGGCAGCAGUGGGGAAUAUUGCACAAUGGGCGCAAGCCUGAUGCAGCCAUGCCGCGUGUAUGAAGAAGGCUUUCGGGUGGUAAAGUACUUUCAGCGGGGAGGCGUUACCCGCAGAAGAAGCACCGGCUAACUCCGUGCCAGCAGCCGCGGUAAUAC
rnacentral:rRNA from 1 species